CUGCUGCCUCCCGUAGGAGUCUGGUCCGUGUCUCAGUACCAGUGUGGGGGACCUUCCUCUCAGAACCCCUACGCAUCGUCGCCUUGGUGGGCCGUUACCCCGCCAACAAGCUAAUGCGACGCAUGACCAUCCGUAGCCGGAAUCGCUUCCUUUAAACCCACAGAGAUGCCUCCAUGGGUUGUUACGCGGUAUUAGACGGAAUUUCUUCCGCUUAUCCCCCUGCUACAGGCAGGUUUCAUACGUGUUACUCACCCGUGCGCCGGUCGG
rnacentral:rRNA from 1 species